rnacentral:misc_RNA from 1 species
AGCUUCCUUAGAGAGGCAUGUGGUGACUGGAAAAACUGAAAUAAUCUAGGCAGGAAAACAUCAAUAGGACGUCCAGCUAAUCCAGGUACAUCAGAAUCAAGCUCUUGUGGAAUAUCUUCACAGAUCUUGGAUAAAGUAUCCAUUGCACCUUCCAUAUGGUUGAUAUCAUUGCUGUCCAAGCACUGCAUAAGAGCUUGCAACAGCUCUGGCCAGCCAAGAAUUCG